AAGUCGUAACAAGGUAACCGUAGGUGAACCUGCGGUUGGAUCAUUAACAAAUUUGUCUUGAUUGGGGCUGGGUGGUUCGUCUCUCGUGGACGGGUCGCACGGUCCCACAUCAACCAACCCCAUCUUAUUUUUUUUUUCAUUCUCAUUUUUCAAUUUUGCUUGUGAACGCCAACGGACCUUGCAUGCGACAUCCUCGGAAGUCGAGCAGGGGUUGGAGGUGCUUCAUCUGAAAAAAACAAAAAACAACUUUUGGCAACGGAUCUCUUGGCUCUC
rnacentral:misc_RNA from 1 species